rnacentral:rRNA from 1 species
ACGAACGCUGGCGGCGUGCUUAACACAUGCAAGUCGAACGGAAAGGCCCUGCUUUUGUGGGGUGCUCGAGUGGCGAACGGGUGAGUAACACGUGAGUAACCUGCCCUUGACUUUGGGAUAACUUCAGGAAACUGGGGCUAAUACCGGAUAGGAGCUCCUGCUGCAUGGUGGGGGUUGGAAAGUUUCGGCGGUUGGGGAUGGACUCGCGGCUUAUCAGCUUGUUGGUGGGGUAGUGGCUUACCAAGGCUUUGACGGGUAGCCGGCCUGAGAGGGUGACCGGCCACAUUGGGACUGAGAUACGGCCCAGACUCCUACGGGAGGCAGCAGUGGGGAAUAUUGCACAAGGGGCGGAAGCCUGAUGCAGCAACGCCGCGUGCGGGAUGACGGCCUUCGGGUGGUAAACCGCUUUCGCCUGUGACGAAGCGUGAGGGACGGUAAUGGGUAAAGAAACACCGGCUAACUACGU